rnacentral:lncRNA from 1 species
CGCGUGCGCGCGGAGCGAGGACUGCGGAACCCCAGGCGCGGGAGCCGCACCAGCUGCGGGCUAGCUGUGGAAUGCGUGGCCGGACAAGUUUGCUCCAGCUGCCAGAGGCAGGCUCCAGCCGCGGCUCGCGCGCUCCCUCCGGGUCCCCGCGCCCGGGUAGGAUGGAAGAAACCUGGCAGCUAGACGGAAAGGAAACGUGGUGAGGACCAGGACAACACCAGUGUGUCCAGAGCAGACACCACUGCGCUUGCUUUGCUUGAGAAAGGAUAAAGGAAGAGAAGCUGCAGCUGCUCUGGGCGCAGACAGCAAACAAGCCUCACUGUGUGGCCCCUUCACAAAAGGGGCUGCAGAAAGCCGGCAAACAGAUGCGUUCUGCCGAAGACAUCCACAGAUCCACCUGCCACGAUGAUUAAAGGUUCAAAGGACUGUCCAGGAAUUGAACUCAGGACCUUGUGUUGCCAGUCAGGUGCAGUGUUACUGAGCUACAUCUCUGGCCCUGUGCUAAUAAUCUUAGCUGCUGAAAGUAAGUCAUUGUAUGUAUGAGGUUAGAUUAAGCCAGGGCUGGUAGCACACACCUGUGAUCCUAGAAAUCAGGAAAUCCCAAAUUCAAGCCCAGCUAACCUGGGCUUACAGUGAGAACUUGUCUCAAAGAAACUAAUAGGAAGAAUUAUUAUAGGUACAUCUUAAGUAGUUCUUAAAAUGUUAAACUGACUUUUAAGCUCUAAAAAAGAACAAAUUCA